ensembl:lncRNA
GGACAUUCCGCAUGAAGCUGAAACAAAAAAAGACUAUGACUUUUUGGAAAGAGAGGGAAGGAAGAAAGAAAUAAAGAACCAUUAUGACUGACCCCCUGUAGCCCAAACCUCUCCCCCUCCAUUCCUCCUUCCAUCCCCCCCUCCAUUCCUCCCUCAUUCUCUCCGUCAUCUGACUCCCACCUGACUAGAUGUGUAUCCCAAAUAGCACCCUCUGACCUAAACAGUGCACUACUGUUGACAUGGGCAGACUCCGGCAGAAUGCUAUCUCAGAAAACCCAGAGAUUUGAAUUUCUGGAUUUCUGAGGACAACCUUCAACAUGACGAUACAGGGUAUAAUAAAAUUCCUAUGAAGUAACAUAGUCCAGACCGACACCUUAUCUGGCAAUGACUCAUUCACACACAUGUACACGCUCGCACAGACACAAACACACACACACACACACACUUGAAACCAGAUGUGCAGAACCAGCCCCAGACAGGGAGCCUGAGGGCUGAGCGAACCCAAGUGUAUCACGACGGACGGGGACUAAACACACAACACCCCCACCUGGAAGUCCCAGAUCAAGUUGCAUAAAUCAUUCUAUGUAAUGAUUCAACAACGAACAGAGUGAAAAGAGAAUUAAUAUAUAGAGUCACACUUUCCUUCUGCACUAGUGGCUAAACACACUACACUAGACCAGUUAGAUAGAGGUGUUAUCAUCCCACACUACACUAGACCAGUUAGAUAGAGGUGGUGUUAUCAUCCCACACUACACUAGACCAGUUAGAUAGAGGUGGUGUUAUCAUCCCACACUACACUAGACCAGUUAGAUAGAGGUGGUGUUAUCAUCCCCCACUAGACCAGGUAGAUAGCGGUGGUGUUAUCAUCGCCUACUAGACCAGUUAGAUAGAGGUGGUGUUAUCAUCCCACACUAGACCAGUUAGGUAGAGGUGGUGUUAUCAUCCCACACUACACUAGACUAGUUAGAUAGAGGUGGUGUUAUCAUCCCACACUAGACCAGUUAGACAGAGGUGGUGUUAUCAUCCCCCACUAGACCAGUUAGGUAGAGGUGGUGUUAUCAUCCCACACUACACUAGACCAGUUAGAUAGAGGUGGUGUUAUCAUCCCACACUAGACCAGUUAGGUAGAGGUGGUGAUAUCAUCCUACACUACACUAGACCAGUUUGGUAGAGGUGGUAUUAUCAUCCCACACUACACUAGACCAGUUAGAUAGAGGUGGUGUUAUCAUCCCAAACUCCACUAGACCAGUUAGGUAGAGGUGGUGUUAUCAUCCCCCACUAGACCAGUUAGAUAGAGGUGGUGCUAUCAUCCCACACCAGACCAGUUAGGUAGAGGUGGUGUUAUCAUCCCACACUACACCAGACCAGUUAGAUAGAGGUGGUGUUAUCAUCCCACACUACACCAGACCAGUUCGGUAGAGGAGGUGUGUUAGUUUGGUCACAGCUGGGCUGUUAUGUCCAGGCUAUCUCUUUAUUCUUGAUUUAUUUAUAGUCAAGUUGACUGUAAACAAUUUCUAAUUUACAGAAACGACCUGGGGAAUAGUUACAGGGGAUAGGAGAGGGGAGAAAUGAGCCAAUUGGAAGCUGGGGAUGAUUAGGUGACCAUGACGGUACGAGGGCCAGAUUGGAACAGAGCCUGCAGUAAAAUGGCCAUUCUCAUUCUACUUCCCCUUGAUGACCUAAGAGAAUUUGGGAGAUAUGGAAAACCGACAGGAUCCAGAUUCAGGGUUAAAAUCAAUGUCGUUCUAUUCCCUGUACAGUAGAUAUUGUAUUAUCUUUGUUAAUUUAUUUGUUUGAAUCUGAGGUUGUAACCAAACACACAGUUUAUUUCACGGAAUGUAUGUCUGCGUUCCAAAUGGGGGGGUGGGGUCUCGCACAGCAGUCUAAGGCACUGCAUCUCAGUGCUAGAGGCAUCACUGCAGACCCUGGUGUGAUCCCGGGCUGUAUCACACCCGGACGUGAUCGGGAGUCCCAUAGGGUGGUGCAGCGUCGUCCUGGUUUUGGGAGGCCGGUGUAGGCCGUCAUUGUACAUAAGAAUUUGUUCUUAACUGACUUUCCUAGUUAAAUAAAGAUACAAAAUAAUAAUAAUCCUAUUCCAUACAGUUGAAGUCUGAAGUUUACAUACACCUUAGCCAAAUACAUUUCAACUCAGUUUUUCACAAUUCCUGACAUUUAAAUCCUAGUUAAAAUUCCCUGCCUUAGGUCAGUUAGGAUCACUACUUUUUUUUAAAAAUGUUAAAUGUCAGAAUAAUAGUAGAGAGAAUGAUUUAUUUCAGCUUUUAUUUCUUUCAUAACAUUCCCAGUGGUUCAGAAGUUUACAUACACUCAAUUAGUAUUUGGUAGCAUUGCCUUUAAAUUGUUUAACUUGGGUCAAACGUUUCGGGUAGCCUUCCACAAGCUUCCUACAAUAAGUUGGGUGAAUUCUUUUUGCAGCAACAACCUGGGGAAUAGUUACAGGGAAGGGAAAGGGGAUGAAUGAGCCAAUUGUAACCUGGGGAUUAUUAGGUGACCGUGAUGGUUUGAGGCCCAGAUUGGGAAUUUAGCCAGGACACCGUGGUUAACACCCCUACUCUUACAAUAAGUGCCAUGGGAUCUUUAAUGACCUGAGAGUCAGGACACCCAUUUAACGUCCCAUCUGAAAGACGGCACCCUACACAGGGCAAUGUCCCCAAUCACUGCCCUGGGGCAUUGGGAUAUUUUUUUAGACUAGAGGAAAGAGUGCCUCCUACUGGCCCAACACCACUUCCAGCAGCAUCUGGUCUCCCAUCCAGGAACUGACCAGGACCAACUCUGCUUAGCUUCAGAAACAAACCAGCAGUGGUAUGCAGGGUGGUAUGCUGCUGGCCCAUCUGGACAAGACCCAUUUGUGUCCAAGCUUUAACUUCCUGACUGAUGUUUUGAGAUGUUGCUUCAAUAUAGCCACAUCAUUUUCCUUCCUCAUGAUGCCAUCUGCCACCCCAGUGCUUCACGGUUGGGACGGUGUUCUCCAAACAUGACGAUGGUCAUUAUGGCCAAACAGUUCUAUUUUUGUUUCAUCAGACCAGAGGACAUUUCUCCAAAAAGUACAAUCUUUGUCCCCAUGUGCAGUUGCAAACCGUGGUCUGUCUUUUUUAUGGCGGUUUUGGAGCAGUGGCUUCUUUCUUGCUAAGCGGCCUUUCGGGUUAUGUCGAUAUAGGACUCGUUUUACUGUGGAUAUAGAUACCUGUACCUGUUUCCUCCAGCAUCUACACAAGGUCCUUUUGCUGUUGUUCUGGGAUUGGUUUGUACUUUUCGCACCAAAGUAUGUUCACCUCUAGGAGACAGAACGCGUCUCCUUCCUGAGCGGUAUGACGGAUGCGUGGUCCCAUGGUUUUUAUACUUGCGUACUAUUGUUUGUACAGAUGAACGUGGUACCUUCAGGCAUUUGGAAAUUGCUCCCAAGGAUGAACCAGACUUGUGGAGGUCUACAAUUAUUUUUUCUGAGGUCUUGGCUGAUUUCUUUAGAUUUUCCCAUGAUGUCAAGCAAAGAGGCACUGAGAUUGAAGAUAGGCCUUGAAAUACAUCCACAGGUACAACUCCAAUUGACUCAAAUGAUGUCAAAUUGCUUCUAAAGCCAUGACCUUAUUUUCUGGAAUGUUCCAAGCUGUUUAAAGGUACAGUCAACUUAGUGUAUGUAAACUUCUGACCCACUGGAAUUGUGAUGCAGUGAAUUCUAAGUGAAAUAAUCUGUCUGUAAACAGUCGUUGGAAAAAUGACUUGUGUCAUGUCCUAACUGACUUGCCUUAACUAUAGUUUGUUUACAUGAAAUUUGUGGAGUGGUUGAAAAACAAGUUUUAAUGACUCCAACCUAAGUGUAUGUAAACUUCCGACUUCAACUGUACAUAUAUAUAUAUAUAUAUAUAUAUAUAUAUAUAGUGCACUACCUUUGACCAGGUCCCAUAGUGCACUAUGUAGGGAAUAGGAUGCUAUUUGAGACACAUCCUAUUUCACUAAAAUCAAUCAUUCUUUAUCUCUGUCUCGGACUAGGAUAUGACAUCGUCAAAAUGCCUCAGUGUUUUGUUUACCACCACAAGGGUUCCGUCUAUUGCAGAGGCAGGGCAUCACCACGGUAACAUCAGAGAGAGCUAGGGCUGGGCUCUAGUCAGCCUAGUCAAGAGUCUGCAUGAUCAAGCAUCAUGAUCUGUCUAUGCAAUCGGGACUGUAGGGAGAGAUGGAGAGAUAAGAGGAUGCAGGGGAAAGAGAGAGAGAGAGAGAAGGAAGCAGGAGAGGGAGUAAGAGAGAGAAUGAAUGAGAUACAGAGAGACACACAGAAAGAGGAAGAAGAGAGAGAGAGAGGGAAAGAGAAGGAAGAGGGGAGGGAGAGUGAAAGAGAGGAGGGAGAGUGAAAGAGAGGGAGAAGGAAAGGAGAUGGAGAGAGAAGGAAGAGGGGAGGGAGAGUGAAAGAGAGGGAGAAGGAAAGGAGAUGGAGAGAGAAGGAAGAGGGAGAGUGAAAGAGAGGGAGAAGGACAGGAGAUGGAGAGAGAGAGCCAGAGAGAGAAAGAAGGGAGAUAAACGAGCCAGGGGAGUAAAGUACAUUUAGUUAAGUUACAUUCUCCUGAGGAUAGAAAAGGGAACAUACACACACACAGUGUUGCUGUAGAUUCCCUUCCCUUUAUCUCUAGUGACCUAACUUGAACGCAGCUCCCCCUCCUCCCUCAUCGCCCCCUUUCUCUCUUCCCUCUCCUCCACCACUUCCUCCCCCCUCU